rnacentral:rRNA from 1 species
GACAAACGCUGGCGGGGUGCAUGAGACAUGCAAGUCGAACGGGGUUGAGCGGGCUUGCUCGAUCAACCUAGUGGCGGACGGCUGAGUAACGCGUAGGUGACCUACCCGGAAGUGGGGAAUAACUGCCCGAAAGGGUGGCUAAUACCGCAUGUGGUCGGCGAUUCAGUUCGCCGCCCAAAGCCGCAAGGCGCUUCCGGCGGGGCCUGCGUCCGAUUAGCUAGUUGGUGGGGUAAUGGCUCACCAAGGCGACGAUCGGUAGCUGGUCUGAGAGGAUGAUCAGCCAGACUGGGACUGAGAACGGCCCAGACUCCUACGGGAGGCAGCAGUCGGGAAUUUUGCCCAAUGGACGAAAGUCUGAGGCAGCAACUCCGCGUGAGGGACGAAGGCC